rnacentral:rRNA from 1 species
GAUGAACGCUGGCGGCGUGCCUAAUACAUGCCAGUCGAGCGAACAGACGAGGAGCUUGCUCCUCUGACGUUAGCGGCGGACGGGUGAGUAACACGUGGAUAACCUACCUAUAAGACUGGGAUACCUUCGGGAAACCGGAGCUAAUACCGGAUAAUAUAUUGAACCGCAUGGUUCAAUAGUGAAAGACGGUUUUGCUGUCACUUAUAGAUGGAUCCGCGCCGCAUUAGCUAGUUGGUAAGGUAACGGCUUACCAAGGCAACGAUGCGUAGCCGACCUGAGAGGGUGAUCGGCCACACUGGAACUGAGACACGGUCCAGACUCCUACGGGAGGCAGCAGUAGGGAAUCUUCCGCAAUGGGCGAAAGCCUGACGGAGCAACGCCGCGUGAGUGAUGAAGGUCUUCGGAUCGUAAAACUCUGUUAUUAGGGAAGAACAAAUGUGUAAGUAACUAUGCACGUCUUGACGGUACCUAAUCAGAAAGCCACGGCUAACUACGUG